GUAAAUCUUUUCAAAUCUUUUCUUUUUUUCCCUUAAAAUGAAUGAAUUGAUCAGAAAAGUUAUAUGUAGUAUGUGAUGAUAUAAUAAUGCAGCAGAUUUUCUCGGAUUUUCUUUUCAUUUCAUCACUGUGUAACAUUACAAUACCUCGACAAAGACAACGACAAUUUUCAUUCAUUACAUUUUGUAAAUUAAUAAGAAACUGAUGACGUUCAAAUCAAAUUGAAUCGAAAAAAUACGUGCAAAUUACUUUAGGAUGAUUGGUUUUGUAUUUGUCGCUGGAUUUGAAAUUGCCAUUUUUUCUUCUGUCCUGUCUAUCUAUAUGUGCCCAUCAAUUUUUUCCAAUUUGUUCAAUUCUACAAUUGACUACGUAUUGUUCUAUAUUGGAUCUAAUUAAAAAUAGUUUACUUCACUAACUUAAUAGAAUUUCAUCACAUUGGAUUUAUUAUUUGAUGGAAA